rnacentral:misc_RNA from 1 species
AACAUCGCGCACCUGCGGGAACCUGCGGAAGGAUCAUUACAAGUGACCCCGGUCUAACCACCGGGAUGUUCAUAACCCUUUGUUGUCCGACUCUGUUGCCUCCGGGGCGACCCUGCCUUCGGGCGGGGGCUCCGGGUGGACACUUCAAACUCUUGCGUAACUUUGCAGUCUGAGUAAACUUAAUUAAUAAAUUAAAACUUUUAACAAUGGAUCU